rnacentral:rRNA from 1 species
AGCAGUAGCCGCGGUAAUACGUAGGUCCCGAGCGUUGUCCGGAUUUAUUGGGCGUAAAGGGAGCGCAGGCGGUCAGGAAAGUCUGGAGUAAAAGGCUAUGGCUCAACCAUAGUGUGCUCUGGAAACUGUCUGACUUGAGUGCAGAAGGGGAGAGUGGAAUUCCAUGUGUAGCGGUGAAAUGCGCAGAUAUGUGGAGGAACACCAGUGGCGAAAGCGGCUCUCUGGUCUGUCACCGACGCUGAGGCUCGAAAGCGUGGGUAGCGAACAGGAUUAGAUACCCCAGUAGUCCCUGUCUCUUAUACA